UACAGCCAUAUCAUGUUGGAACACCGGUUCUUGUACAAACACCAAACUUAAGCAACCUUGAGCCUGGUCAGUACCUAGAUGGGUGACCUCUUGGGAAUACCAGGUGCUGUAAG